GAUGAAGAACGUAGCGAGAUGCGAUAAGUAAUGUGAAUUGCAGAAUUCAGUGAAUCAUCGAAUCUUUGAACGCACAUUGCGCCCGUCAGUAUUCUGGCGGGCAUGCCUGUUCGAGCGUCAUUACGCCCCUCAAGUCCCCUGUGGACUUGGUGUUGGGGAUCGGCGAGGCUGGUUUUCCAGCACAGCCGUCCCUUAAAUUAAUUGGCGGUCUCGCCGUGGCCCUCCUCUGCGCAGUAGUAAAACACUCGCAACAGGAGCCCGGCGCGGUCCACUGCCGUAAAACCCCCAACUUUUUAUAGUUGACCUCGAAUCAGGUAGGACUACCCGCUGAACUUAAGCAUAUCAAUAAGCAGAGGA
rnacentral:misc_RNA from 1 species